rnacentral:rRNA from 1 species
CAGGCCUAACACAUGCAAGUCGAGCGGACUUAUCCUUCGGGAUAGGUUAGCGGCGGACGGGUGAGUAACACGUAGGCAACCUGCCUGUAAGAUCGGGAUAACUACCGGAAACGGUAGCUAAGACCGGAUAGCUGGUUUCUCCGCAUGGGGGAAUCAUGAAACAUGGGGCAACCUAUGGCUUACGGAUGGGCCUGCGGCGCAUUAGCUAGUUGGUGGGGUAAUGGCCCACCAAGGCGACGAUGCGUAGCCGACCUGAGAGGGUGAUCGGCCACACUGGGACUGAGACACGGCCCAGACUCCUACGGGAGGCAGCAGUAGGGAAUCUUCCGCAAUGGGCGCAAGCCUGACGGAGCAACGCCGCGUGAGUGAUGAGGGUUUUCGGAUCGUAAAGCUCUGUUGCCAAGGAAGAACGCCUCGGAGAGUAACUGCUCUGAGGGUGACGGUACUUGAGAAGAAAGCCCCGGCUAACUACGUGCCAGCAGCCGCGGUAAUACGUAGGGGGCAAGCGUUGUCCGGAAUUAUUGGGCGUAAAGCGCGCGCAGGCGGUCUUUUAAGUUUGGUGUUUAAGCCCGGGGCUCAACCCCGGUUCGCACUGAAAACUGGGAGACUUGAGUGCAGGAGAGGAAAGCGGAAUUCCACGUGUAGCGGUGAAAUGCGUAGAGAUGUGGAGGAACACCAGUGGCGAAGGCGGCUUUCUGGACUGUAACUGACGCUGAGGCGCGAAAGCGUGGGGAGCAAACAGGAUUAGAU